UUUAUUUUGUUUAUUUUGAUCAGUUUUGUGGUGUUUUCUCUGAACAUCAUCAUUUGUUAGUGUGAUGUUUCUUGAGAUUGCUGUAAAGGAAACUCAGGAACGAAGCAUUCCAACUCCAGAUAAUUAUAUCUGUCUGAGUUAUUCCUAUUCUUUGCUGAAAGAGCACAGGUAUUAGCCAAUUCUAAAACUAAAUGCCUCUCUUCAAAUCACUCCUCUCCCACAAAAGGUUUCUUUCUUUUCUUUCAAGAUAAUCUUACACAGAAAACUCAUUUAGCAAUUUGCUUAGGAAAGAUAAUAUUUUGGGUGUUCUGAGCUUUUCAUUGGGAGUCUAAGCCAACAUCUGAAGCAGAGUUUAAAAACCAAAACACAGGUUUAAAGAAAAAGAUGAAAAUUGGAUUAUUGAAGAGGAAGAGUGUGAUGAUUAAUAUUGAAUGUCAACUUGUUUGGAUCGAAGGAUGC
rnacentral:lncRNA from 1 species